UGGUCAUUACCAAGGCUGCAAGGAUAUUGCUGUUCCUGGUGAGCUGUGGACAUGACCAUAUAGCAAGUCCAUCAGACUCUUGAAUUGCUGCGUUGUGUGGCAGUAGGUCUGCUGGGAAUAAAG
rnacentral:snoRNA from 7 species